rnacentral:rRNA from 1 species
AUGUCGCUGGCCCAGCUGCUCCCGAAUCUGCUCGACACAGCGAUCGAGUCCAGUAUUGGCGCGGUAGGGCAGGACGUAUUGGCACUUGUCGGCAGCAGAUUCGGGGCAGUCAACAGGCAGGGACGACCCUCAGGCACCAGCAUGGACAAAGAGGCACCUACAGAGCAACCCCCCUGUGUUGGUACAGUGUGCACGUUGGAGAAGACAAUCAAGGAAUAUGCAGAGAAAAAGACUGAAACCGUCAUAGUGCCUGAGGUUGGGAGCAGCUUCGAUACGCUGGGAGAGGCAUAUGACUACUACAACCCGUAUUCAUGGGAAAUCAGUUUUGGGAUCAGGUAUGACAAGAGCAGGCUCAACGUUGAAAGGACCAAAUGCAAGGGGUGUGAAGAAUACCUGAGAAGCACAUUCUGA